rnacentral:rRNA from 1 species
UACGGAGGGGGCUAGCGUUGUUCGGAAUUACUGGGCGUAAAGCGCGCGUAGGCGGACCUGCAAGUCGGGGGUGAAAGCCCGAGGCUCAACCUCGGAACUGCCUUCGAUACUGCGGGUCUCGAGUCCGGGAGAGGUGAGUGGAAUUCCUAGUGUAGAGGUGAAAUUCGUAGAUAUUCGGAAGAACACCAGUGGCGAAGGCGACUUACUGGACGACUGUUGACGCUGAGGUGCGAAAGCGUGGGGAGCAAACAGG